AAUAAAUUAAAAUGGAAUACUAUAAAAUAUUCAAAUCAAAAGGAAUAGAGGAAAGAAGGAAAAGUAGAAUUUUAAAAAGGAGAGACAUAAUAAAAAGAUGUAAAUGCAUAUAAAUAAAUAUCUUAAUUUUAUAUGGCCUGGGACUUUGGGCUCAAGAUCAGGGGAAUAGAUGCACUUUCAUAUUUGCCAAAAACCCUGGAUAUUAUAUAUAAAAGAAAUAUAAGAAGAUUGAAAAGGGAUAGAGAUCAGCAAGAGACACUGGCACCCAAGAAAAGACAUUACAUUGAGUUUUUUUCUUUUGCCUAAUAUAUCUCAGGUUAAGUGCUGAAGUAUCUGGCAAAUAGAAAGACCUGUGAGCAAAGACCAAAAAUCAAAACAGAACAAAUCCCUAGGAAAAGGAUUCUCUAGCCAGUAGCAACCCAUCAAAUAAGACAACUUUUAGAAAGUAUUACCCUACUACUUCCAAACCUAAGGGUAAAAAUCACUGCUCCAUCCACACCUCCAUCAGCAAAGGCUGAGUGGCAUCAUAGCCUUCUCUGUUGCCAAUCUACAAUGAGACUCUCAUCCACCCUCAACCAAUGUCAGGGUAGUAUGAGAGAAAGCCUGUUGGACAACAAAGCCUUUACUGCACAGUGGCAACACUAAUCCCCAUGGCAUAAAUAGAGGCCUUGUGGGCAUCUUGGAUUCAUAUCCACAUCCAGCAGUAACAAAGAGCACUUCCCUCUCUACAUGGGGCUUGUCAGAUGAGGCCAUGUGGUAAGCUAGUACUUUAAUCACUCUCCAGCCCUAUUGAGUGCUGUCCCAACCACCCAUUCUGAUAUUUAUGGAGGACAUGUGGUGAGGAGCAUUGAUAUAAUAUGCUGUUCCCUCACACCUACAUAUGAUCAGCAGUAAUGAGCUUCCUCUCCCUCCUGGAGUUAAAAGAAUGUCAAGGGGAGAACCUGUGCAUUCACUGUUACCUGAUACUUAGAUGGCAGAAUCUCCAUCCCUCACCAGAACUGACUCAUAGGAGGUCUGUAAAAAGAAGCUUCAAAUGAAUUCCAGAAUCAUAUGCCCAAAAAGUCUAGUGUAAAAUAAAUCAUAAUCAUGGGCCAGGAAAUGUUCAACUUUAAUGAGAAAAGAUAAUAAAUAGCUACCAACAUAGAGAUGACACAGAUGUUGGAAUUACCUAUUGAAGACUAUAAAGCAGCCCCCACAGGAAUGUUUUAACAAGCAAUUAAAAACACAUUUGAAAUAGAAUAUCAGAAUAUCUCAGUAAGGAAAGAAGAUAUGAAGGACCAAGUGUUUAAUUUCAGAACUGAAAAACAUAAAUGAAGUAACUAAAUGGAUGGUUUUAAUAGUACAAUGGAGAUGACAGAGAAAAGACCCAGUGAACUUAAAGAUAGAACAAUUAAAAUUAUUCACAGAGAGCAAAUAGACUAAACAUUUUUUUAAGCCUCAAGGGCCUUUGGGACAAUAACAGAAGUUCCACGAUUCCUGUCACUGGGGUUCCAAAAGAAGGUAUGAGAGAAUAGUUUCAGUCUUGGAGUGAGAGUUAUAUCAUUGGUUCCCCUGGUUCCCAGGACUUCAGACUUGGACUGAAUUAUACCACCAGGCUUUCCUUAGCCUCCAGCUUGCAGACAGCAGAUCAUGGGAUUUCUCAGCCUCUGUUGCCACAUGAGCCAAUUCCUAUAAUAAAUCUCUUCAUAUAUUUGUUUUA